UAAUGGGUAAAAUUCUUCGUGAUGGAA
rnacentral:sRNA from 1 species